CGCUGCCUGUGGAGGUGGCAGCUAUCUGUUACUGGGCAUCAUGGCUGCCCUCAGACCUCUGGUGAAGCCCAAGAUCGUUAAAAAGAGGACCAAGAAGUUCAUCCGGCACCAGUCAGACCGCUAUGUCAAAAUUAAGCGCAACUGGCGGGAACCAGAGGCAUUGACAAUAGGGUGCGCAGAAGAUUCAAGGGCCAGAUCUUGAUGCCCAACAUUGGUUACGGGAGCAACAAGAAAACAAAGCACAUGUUGCCAAGUGGCUUCCGGAAGUUCCUAGUCCACAACGUCAAGGAGCUUGAAGUGCUGCUGAUGUGCAACAAAUCUUACUGUGCAGAGAUUGCUCACAAUGUCUCCUCCAAGAACCGCAAAGCUAUUGUGGAAAGAGCAGCCCAGCUGGCAAUCAGAGUCACCAAUCCCAACGCCAGGCUGCGCAGCGAAGAAAAUGAAUAGACAACUUGUUGUGCACAUCAUAUUUUUGUUAAUAAAACCAUAAAACUACAAAAAA